rnacentral:rRNA from 1 species
UAUAUCUGGUUUGAUAUUAUUGUUGAAUAGUAUAAUUUGUGUAGUGUUAGUUAAGCCAAGUCUAUGUGCUGCUUAUAAAAGUAUUUAUGCGUUACUUUGAUAAAGUUUUAGUUGUAAUACUAUUAUAUAUUUAGGACUUAAAAGUAAUAUCAAAUUAGUUUGUUGGUGUGAAAUAA